rnacentral:rRNA from 1 species
CAGCCGCCGCGGUAAUACGUAGGGUGCGAGCGUUAAUCGGAAUUACUGGGCGUAAAGCGUGCGCAGGCGGUUCGUUAAGACAGAUGUGAAAUCCCCGGGCUUAACCUGGGAACUGCAUUUGUGACUGGCGAGCUAGAGUAUGGCAGAGGGGGGUAGAAUUCCACGUGUAGCAGUGAAAUGCGUAGAGAUGUGGAGGAAUACCGAUGGCGAAGGCAGCCCCCUGGGCCAAUACUGACGCUCAUGCACGAAAGCGUGGGGAGCAAACAGGAUUAGAGACCCCUGUAGUCCCUGUCUCUUAUAC